rnacentral:rRNA from 1 species
GACGAAGGUGGCGAGCGUUGUUCGGUGUUACUGGGCUUAAAGAGUACGUAGGCGGAAAGGUAAGCGUUUUGUGAAAUCCCUCGGCUUAACCGAGGAAUUGCUGGACGAACUACCUUUCUUGAGGCAAGUAGGGGUGCAUGGAACUCUUGGUGGAGCGGUGGAAUGCGUAGAUAUCAAGAGGAACGCCGGCGGUGAAAACGGUGCACUGGGCUUGUUCUAACGCUGAGGUACGAAAGCGUGGGGAGCGAACGGGAUUAGAUACCCGCGUA